AACAGUCCAACCCAAAUAUUCAGAUGUGUGCUGCGCAUUUUAUGGAGGAUGAGGACUGUUUCCUGAAACAGAAGCCUACAAUGACAGUCUGGCGCUUCUGACUCAUAGCCUACAAAGGCACUACUCGCUGCUUCUACUGACAACAUCAAGAACGCAAUAAUCUCACUGAUGUACUAGCUCAACUAUACAAGCCUUUUCAGCUCCGCUCAUCUCCCACAAUGCCUUGCAUCAUCGUCAGGUGUCUGACUAGCACGCAUCCAGGUCGAAGGCCACGUUACCAAUUUCUCUCUUUUUAGACGUAGAGCUCGCUGGCUUUUUUGUGCUUUCAACUUUCAAGUUUCCUGUGAACUUCACAUCAAACGGCUGAAGCCCUGUGCAGCGGCUUUGAAGUGCUGGGGAGAGCUGAGCUCUUGUGCUGGCGCUGGUAAAAAGCUGCCAUGCUAAAAAAAGUCAAAGACUGCAGGGAACGGACGGUGAUUUUUUUUUUUUUUUCUUUUUAUCAUUUUAGCAUGAUUAUUAUCAUUAAAGGGA
ensembl:lncRNA